UACGAAGGGGGCUAGCGUUGCUCGGAAUCACUGGGCGUAAAGCGCACGUAGGCGGAUCUUUAAGUCAGGGGUGAAAUCCUGGAGCUCAACUCCAGAACUGCCUUUGAUACUGGGGAUCUCGAGUCCGGGAGAGGUGAGUGGAACUGCGAGUGUAGAGGUGAAAUUCGUAGAUAUUCGCAAGAACACCAGUGGCGAAGGCGGCUCACUGGCCCGGUACUGACGCUGAGGCGCGAAAGCGUGGGGAGCGAACAGG
rnacentral:rRNA from 1 species